CUCCUGAGUCCCCGAUGCAGCCCCGAGUGAUCCCGCAGUAUUUUCCUUAUAUGAUCAGGCACCACGUGGCUGGCGCUGCCUGAGAGGAUUAUGAAAAUGUGUCAGGUGAAGUGGGGCCAGGGGACCUGGAG
ensembl:scaRNA